rnacentral:lncRNA from 1 species
CCAGCCGCUCAGGAGGCUGAGGCAGGAGGAUCGCAAGUUCAAAGCCAGCCUCAGCAACUUAGUGAGGCCCUAAGCAACUCAGUGAGACUCUGUCUCUAAAUAAAAUACAAAAUAGGGCUGGGGAUGGGGCUCAGGGGUUCAAUCGUCAGUUACCUCCCCCUCCCCCCCCAAAAAAAGAACUCCAGUUUCCUUUUUCCUCAACCCCUGGGAAGGGGAAACACUCUCCUACCUGAGUUGUUGGUGCUGGACGCUUGCCCUGGGUUGGUCAGAAGACAAGAUGGUGGCCUGGGUCUUCCCUGGAAGGUGGAUGCUAGAGAUGAGGGACGGGAUUUCCCUCACACUGGCUUCCCUUGGGGACACAAGGUGGUGCCCCAAAUCCGGGCAUCACAUCCAGAUCCAAUUACAUCCAUAGGAAGAAGGGGAGUGGCUCCUCCUUUCUCUCUUUUUAUAGAGAAGGAAACUUUCCCCUAAAGUUCCUCAGCUCGUCUCCCCUCUCCUAUUGUUGGCCAGAAUUUGCCAUCUCUUUCAUGCUCCACCCAAUUGCCAGACAGGAAGUAGCAAUUGGCCUAAAAGCAGAUGGCAAUAUGGAGGAAGGAAGUGACCCUGGACAGGCUGAGCUCUGUGAUGCAGGAGCAUGCCCAUAUUGCCUGGCCAACCAAUAGUGUCUGCUGUGGUCUCUUUCCAAAUGUCCUCCAGAGGGUGGGGUGCCCUCACUGUCACCAAGAAGUUCUGAGGCUCAUUGUGGAGCCAUCAAUAGGUCACUUUUUUAGGGGCCUAUGGCCUGGGCCUACCCACAGGGUCAAAAGCCCUCCCAACCCCGAGAUGCAGUGACUUCUCCAGUGCAUAAUCUGCAUUUUUACAGUGAAAUAAUGUGGGCUAUGAAUUUUCCUGUGAAUACACUUUUAG